AAUAGAUACCUUAUAUAUGCAUCAGCAACAGAAAGAGUGAUUUUUAUUUUAUUUACUUUUUAUCUUUUGGUAAACAGGACGUAUUUGCGGCAGCAACGCUGGUUAAUAUGUCAAGUACUUUAGAGGGGUAAUAUGAUUUGCCUCUAAAAGCAUGUGUUUGGGAUAUCAAUACAUCAAUGAUGAGAACAUCAACAUCAUUUUUCGUUAAAUCUGUCUUGUAACAUCGAUAUGCUUCAGCCCUAACUUGACAAUGUGCGUUAAUUUCUGAUUCUGCUGCUCUGUCUGCUCGGAGUUGCUUUUUGGAAUAA